AAACAGAGAGAUAGUGGAAAUAGGACACAUGUGUAACCUUGAUCAUGUUUUUUAUCUUUUUUAUUUUUUUUCUUUCUUUUCUUCCAUGAGUGAGCGCUAUCAUA
rnacentral:ribozyme from 13 species